GCGGACGGGUGAGUAACACGUGGGUAACCUGCCUGUAAGAUUGGGAUAACUCCGGGAAACCGGAGCUAAUACCGGAUAACAUUUCGAACCGCAUGGUUCGAAUUUGAAAGACGGCUUUUGCUGUCACUUACAGAUGGACCCGCGGCGCAUUAGCUAGUUGGUGAGGUAACGGCUCACCAAGGCAACGAUGCGUAGCCGACCUGAGAGGGUGAUCGGCCACACUGGGACUGAGACACGGCCCAGACUCCUACGGGAGGCAGCAGUAGGGAAUCUUCCGCAAUGGACGAAAGUCUGACGGAGCAACGCCGCGUGAACGAUGAAGGCCUUCGGGUCGUAAAGUUCUGUUGUUAGGGAAGAACAAGUACCAGAGUAACUGCUGGUACCUUGACGGUACCUAACCAGAAAGCCACGGCUAACUACGUGCCAGCAGCCGCGGUAAUACGUAGGUGGCAAGCGUUGUCCGGAAUUAUUGGGCGUAAAGCGCGCGCAGGUGGUUCCUUAAGUCUGAUGUGAAAGCCCACGGCUCAACCGUGGAGGGUCAUUGGAAACUGGGGAACUUGAGUGCAGAAGAGGAAAGUGGAAUUCCAAGUGUAGCGGUGAAAUGCGUAG
rnacentral:rRNA from 1 species